AUGAAUAAUAUAAGUUUUUGAUUAUUACCUCCUGCAUUAACUCUAUUAUUAGUAAGAAGUAUAGUAGAAAAGGGAGCUGGAACAGGUUGAACUGUUUAUCCACCUUUAUCAUCAAUUAUUGCUCAUGGUGGAGCUUCAGUUGAUUUAGCUAUUUUCUCUCUUCACUUAGCAGGAAUUUCUUCAAUUUUAGGAGCAGUAAAUUUUAUUACAACUGUUAUUAACAUACGAUCAACAGGAAUUACAUUCGAUCGAAUACCUUUAUUUGUUUGAUCAGUUGUAAUUACUGCAUUAUUAUUAUUAUUAUCUCUUCCUGUUCUUGCUGGAGCUAUUACUAUACUAUUAACUGAUCGAAAUUUAAAUACUUCAUUCUUUGAUCCAGCUGGAGGAGGUGAUCCAAUUCUUUAUCAACACUUAUUCUGAUUCUUUGGACAUCCAGAAGUUUAUAUUUUAAUUUUACCUGGAUUUGCAAUAAUUUCUCAUAUUAUUAGUCAAGAAUCAGGAAAGAAGGAAACAUUCGGUUCUUUAGGAAUAAUUUAUGCUAUGUUAGCAAUUGGACUUUUAGGAUUUAUUGUAUGAGCUCAUCAUAUAUUUACUGUUGGAAUAGACGUUGAUACUCGAGCUUACUUUACUUCAGCUACAAUAAUUAUUGCUGUACCUACUGGAAUUAAAAUUUUUAGUUGAUUAGCUACAUUAUACGGAACUCAACUAACUUAUUCUCCAGCUAUUUUAUGAGCUUUAGGAUUCGUAUUCUUAUUUACUGUAGGAGGUUUAACAUGAGUAGUAUUAGCUAAUUCAUCUGUUGAUAUUAUUUUACAUGAUACAUAUUAUGUAGUUGCUCAUUUCCACUAUGUACUUUCUAUAGGAGCUGUAUUUGCUAUUAUAGCAGGAUUUGUACAUUGAUAUCCUCUAUUUACUGGAUUAACUCUAAAUAAUAAACUUUUAAAAAGUCAAUUUGUUAUUAUAUUUAUUGGAGUAAAUUUAACAUUCUUCCCUCAACAUUUCUUAGGAUUAGCUGGAAUACCUCGACGAUAUUCUGAUUAUCCUGAUGCUUAUACAGCAUGAAAUGUAAUUUCAACAAUCGGUUCAACAAUUUCAUUAUUGGAAUUUUAUAUUUAUUCUAUAUUAUCUGAGAAAGUUUAGUAUCUCAACGACAAGUAAUUUUCCCAAUUCAAUUAAAUUCAUCAAUUGAAUGAUUACAAAAUACUCCACCUGCUGAACACAGAUAUAAUGAAUUGCCUUUACUAACUAAUUUCUAAUAUGGCAGAUUAGUGCAAUGGAUUUAAGCUCCAUAUAUAAAGUAUUUUACUUUUAUUAGAAACUAAUGUCAACAUGAGCAAAUUUAGGUUUACAAGAUAGUUCUUCUCCAUUAAUAGAACAAUUAAUUUUUUUUCAUGAUCAUGCAUUAAUAAUUUUAGUAAUAAUUACAGUAUUAGUCGGAUAUUUAAUGUUUACAUUAUUUUUUAAUAAAUAUGUUAAUCGUUAUUUAUUACAUGGACAAACAAUUGAAAUUAUUUGAACUAUUUUACCUGCAAUUAUUUUAUUAUUCAUUGCUUUCCCUUCUUUACGAUUAUUAUACUUAUUAGAUGAAAUUAAUGAACCAUCAGUAACUUUAAAGGCUAUUGGUCAUCAAUGAUAUUGAAGUUAUGAAUAUUCAGAUUUUAAUAAUGUUGAAUUUGAUUCUUAUAUAAUUCCUACAAAUGAAUUACCAGUAGACGGAUUUCGUUUAUUAGAUGUAGAUAAUCGAGUAGUUUUACCAAUAAAUUCUCAAAUUCGAAUUUUAGUAACUGCUGCUGAUGUAAUUCAUUCAUGAACUGUUCCUGCUUUAGGUGUAAAGGUUGAUGGUACUCCUGGUCGUCUAAAUCAAACUAAUUUCUUAAUUAAUCGACCAGGUUUAUUCUAUGGACAAUGUUCAGAAAUUUGUGGAGCUAAUCAUAGUUUUAUACCAAUUGUAAUUGAAAGUAUUCCUGUAAAUUAUUUUAUUAAGUGAAUUUCUAAAAAUAAUUCUU